rnacentral:rRNA from 1 species
UGGGGAAUAUUGGACAAUGGGGGCAACCCUGAUCCAGCCAUGCCGCGUGAGUGAUGAAGGCCCUAGGGUUGUAAAGCUCUUUCGCCGGUGAAGAUAAUGACGGUAACCGGUAAAGAAGCCCCGGCUAACUUCGUGCCAGCAGCCGCGGUAAUACGAAGGGGGCUAGCGUUGUUCGGAAUUACUGGGCGUAAAGCGCGCGUAGGCGGCCAUUCAAGUCAGAGGUGAAAGCCCGGGGCUCAACUCCGGAACUGCCUUUGAAACUAGAUGGCUAGAAUCCAGGAGAGGUGAGUGGAAUUCCGAGUGUAGAGGUGAAAUUCGUAGAUAUUCGGAAGAACACCAGUGGCGAAGGCGACUCACUGGACUGGUAUUGACGCUGAGGUGCGAAAGCGUGGGGAGCAAACAGGAUUAGAUACCCGUGUAGUCC